GAUGAACGCUAGCGGGAGGCUUAACACAUGCAAGUCGAGGGGCAGCAUAGGGUAGCAAUACUCUGAUGGCGACCGGCGCACGGGUGAGUAACGCGUAUGCAACCUAUCCUGUACUGGAAGAUAACCCGGAGAAAUUCGGACUAAUAUUCCAUAAUGAUAUUGAGAGGCAUCUUUUAAUAUUUAAAGUUACGACGGUACGGGCUGGGCAUGCGUAACAUUAGCUAGUUGGUAGGGUAACGGCCUACCAAGGCCACGAUGUUUAGGGGUCCUGAGAGGGUGAUCCCCCACACUGGUACUGAGACACGGACCAGACUCCUACGGGAGGCAGCAGUGAGGAAUAUUGGUCAAUGGGCGGAAGCCUGAACCAGCCAUGCCGCGUGCAGGAUGACGGCCCUACGGGUUGUAAACUGCUUUUCCCCGGGGCGAAUAACCCCCUCGCGAGGGGAGUGCCGGUACCGGGGAAUAAGGAUCGGCUAACUCCGUGCCAGCAGCCGCGGUAACUAGUCUACG
rnacentral:rRNA from 1 species